rnacentral:rRNA from 1 species
CAGUAGCCGCGGUAACACGAAGGGUGCAAGCGUUAAUCGGAAUUACUGGGCGUAAAGCGUGCGUAGGCGGUUUGUUAAGUCUGCUGUGAAAUCCCCGGGCUCAACCUGGGAAUGGCAGUGGAUACUGGCAAGCUAGAGUGUGUCAGAGGAUGGUGGAAUUCCCGGUGUAGCGGUGAAAUGCGUAGAGAUCGGGAGGAACAUCAGUGGCGAAGGCGGCCAUCUGGGACAACACUGACGCUGAGGCACGAAAGCGUGGGGAGCAAACAGGAUUAGAUACCCCGGUAGUCCCUGUCUCUUAUAA